CCUACGGGGGGCAGCAGUGGGGGAUAUUGCACAAUGGGGGGAACCCUGAUGCAGCGACGCCGCGUGGGUGAAGGAGCGUUUCGGCUCGUAAAGUCCUAUCGGCAGGGAAGAAGAUGACGGUAUCUGACCAAUAAGCCCCGGCUAACUCCGUGCCAGCAGCCGCGGUAAUACGUCGGGCGCAAGCGUUAAACGGUAUUACUGGGCGUAAAGUGCGCCCAGACGGCAUUGAAAGUCAGAGGUGAAAGCCCGGGGCUAAACCCCGGGACUGCUCUUGGAACUGGAAGGCUGGAGUACAGGAGGGGUAGGUGGAAUUCCUGGGGUAGCGGUGAAAUGCGUAGAUAUUAGGAGGAACACCGGUGGCGAAGGCGGCCUGCUGGACUGUGACUGACGUUGAGGCGCGAAGGCGUGGGGAGCAAACAGGAUUAGAUACCCUUGUAGUC
rnacentral:rRNA from 1 species